rnacentral:rRNA from 1 species
AAUGAACGCUGGCGGUGUGGAUUAGGCAUGCAAGUCGUGCGCGAAAUGUAGCAAUACAUGGAGAGCGGCGAAAGGGAGAGUAAUACAUAGGUACCUACCCCCGGGUCUGGGAUAGCGGCGGGAAACUGCCGGUAAUACCAGAUAAUGUCUCCGGACCAAAGGUGUGAUUCCACCUGGGGAGGGGCCUGUGGCCUAUCAGCUUGUUGGUGGGGUAACGGCCUACCAAGGCAAAAACGGGUAUGGGGCGUGAGAGCGUGCCCCCACUCACUGGGACUGAGAUACUGCCCAGACACCUACGGGUGGCUGCAGUCGAGAAUCUUCGGCAAUGGGCGCAAGCCUGACCGAGCGACACCGCGUGCGGGAUGAAGGCCUUCGGGUUGUAAACCGCUGUCGUAGGGGAGGAAGGGUCCGUGAAGAGCGGAACUUGACCGAUCCUAGGAGGAAGGGCCGGCUAAUCUCGUGCCAGCCGCCGCGGUAAAAC